AGUGAACGCUGGCGGUAGGCCUAACACAUGCAAGUCGAACGGCAGCACAGUAAGAGCUUGCUCUUACGGGUGGCGAGUGGCGGACGGGUGAGGAAUACAUCGGAAUCUACUUUUUCGUGGGGGAUAACGUAGGGAAACUUACGCCAAUACCGCAUACGACCUACGGGUGAAAGCAGGGGAUCUUCGGACCUUGCGCGAUUGAAUGAGCCGAUGUCGGAUUAGCUAGUUGGCGGGGUAAAGGCCCACCAAGGCGACGAUCCGUAGCUGGUCUGAGAGGAUGGUCGGCCACACGGGAAGGGAGCCGGGCCCCAGCCCCCUCCGGGGGGAACCGGUGGGGAAUGUUGGACAAGGGGCGAAAGCCUGACCCAGCCAUCCCGGGGGGGUAAAGAGGGCCUUGGGGUUGUAAAGCCUUUUUUUGGGGAAAAAAAAGCAGGGGUUUAAUCCCCCGCUGUUCGGACGGUCCCAAAAGAAUAAGCCCCGGCUAACUUCGUG
rnacentral:rRNA from 1 species